GACGAACGCUGGCGGCGUGCUUAACACAUGCAAGUCGAACGAUGAAGCCGGAGCUUGCUCCGGUGGAUUAGUGGCGAACGGGUGAGUAACACGUGAGCAAUCUGCCCUUGACUCUGGGAUAACUGCGGGAAACUGUAGCUAAUACCGGAUACGACACCUUGGGGCAUCCCAGGGUGUGGAAAGAAUUUCGGUCAAGGAUGAGCUCGCGGCCUAUCAGCUAGUUGGUGGGGUAAUGGCUCACCAAGGCGACGACGGGUAGCCGGCCUGAGAGGGUGACCAGCCACACUGGAACUGAGACACGGUCCAGACUCCUACGGGAGGCAGCAGUGGGGAAUAUUGCACAAUGGGCGAAAGCCUGAUGCAGCAACGCCGCGUGAGGGAUGAAGGCCUUCGGGUUGUAAACCUCUUUUAGCAGGGAAGAAGCGAAAGUGACGGUACCUGCAGAAAAAGCACCGGCUAACUACGUGCCAGCAGCCGCGGUAA
rnacentral:rRNA from 1 species